GACAGAGGAUGCAAGCGUUAUCCGGAAUGAUUGGGCAUAAAGCGUCUGUAGGUGGCUUUUCAAGUACGCUGUCAAAUCCCAGGGCUCAACCCUGGACAGGCGGUGGAAACUACCAAGCUGGAGUAAGGUAGGGGCAGAGGGCUCGUAGAGCCGGUGGAGCGGUGAAAUGCGUAGAGAUCGGAAAAAACACCAAUGGCGAAAGUACUCUGCUGGGUAGACACUGACACUGAGAGACGAAAGCUAGGGGAGCGAAUGGG
rnacentral:rRNA from 1 species